rnacentral:rRNA from 1 species
UACAGAGGUCUCAAGCGUUGUUCGGAUUCAUUGGGCGUAAAGGGCGCGUAGGCGGCGGGGUAAGUCGGGUGUGAAAUCUCAGAGCUCAACUCUGAAACUGCACUCGAUACUGCUCUGCUUGAGGACUGGAGAGGAGACUGGAAUUCACGGUGUAGCAGUGAAAUGCGUAGAUAUCGUGAGGAAGACCAGUGGCGAAGGCGGGCCUCUGGACAGUUCCUGACGCUGAGGCGCGAAGGCCAGGGGAGCAAACGGG